rnacentral:lncRNA from 1 species
AACACUGGCUUUCAGCCUUUAUUUUCAUUAUGUCUCUAUAUUUCUUUACUCUCACAUGAGAAGUCUUUAUUUCAGUGCUCUUCCAUUUUACUGAUAUAAUUCUAAUUUCACUGUUAUAAAUGGUAUGUGGGCUGAAGAUAGGGCUUCUGUAUUUUCUGACUCCCUUCUCUGUGAUUUGUUUUGUGACUUGUCCUUUGGAGGGUGAAGAAGUGAGACCCUACAUGGCUUUUUAGUGCAUUGAUGGAGCAGAGACACGUCUAUGAACAACUGCCUAUGCAAACUGAUUACUCGGCAGUAUAAUUUAUCAGUUUGUAUGAGUAAGUGAGUGCUUCUCACUAUGGAUUUAGCUUGCACUUCAAUUUAGUUCCAUUAUCUUGCUUUGGAUUUAUGGAAAUUCUGAACAGUGAUGUGAGAGUGACUACAGUUUGAAGUAUCUGUUAAAUACAGCAACAUGACAUCACAAGGAUUGUUUUGGAGUCUUCUGGAUAUGAGAACAUUAUAAAAGGUGUGGGGGUUUCCAGGAGACUUGAGAAUGACUCCAGGACUCAUAGUUCUCCUGGAACAUGGUUUUCCACUGUAGCCUUAGAAGA